AGCUCCACCCACGGAGGCGCCGCAGCCGGCAGCUAGCUCCAGGUCCCAGCCUCUCCUCCGCCUCUUCCUCAUCUUUCUGAAGUCUGACAUUUUUUUGUGUCCCUCCCAGAAAUCCUCCACUAUAUGCCCAAACGCAGAUUCCUCUGAGCUUCUCCAGCUAUUCCCUCCCCCUCCCCAUCUCCUCCCUACUGCCUUCCCCCACCACCCCCCACCCCUCCCAACCCAGUGAUUGGAAUCUGAAUAUGCCCGGGAGCUGCCCUGUCAAGUAGAGGCUAUAGGGCUUGAGUUUGCCAGUGUCUUCCAACAGAAGGGACUUCUCCCCAGACGUCCCGCAUCUCCAGCAUCUCGGCCCGCAGCUCCUCAAUCUCGUCCUGCGGAGGGAAGGAAGAGUCAGGUCACUGGGCCCACAGUAGCAGCUAGGAGGCCGGAGUACUGGCCACACCUAGGACUGAAUGAAGCACCGUGGGGGACCUGGAUGUGGCAGGCUGAAUGACAGACCUCCAAAGACGUCCAUGUUCACAUUCCCAGGAUCUGUGAAUGUUGCCUUACAUGGCAAAAGAGACUUUGCAAAUAUGAGUAAAUUAAGGAUCCCAAGACAGGGAAACAGAAGCAGAGGCUGGAGUGAGAUGCUUUGAUGUUGGAGGAAGGGGCUGUGAUGACGGAGGAAGGGGGUGCCUCUCAAGGCAAGGAAAAGGUUUCUCCCCUGGAGCCUUCCCGAGGAAUGCAGCCCUGCCCAAACCUUGAUUUCUAGACCUUUGACCUCCAGGAUCAGAAGAUAAUAAUCUGGUGUUCAUUUUUUUGUUGUUUUUGAGACGGAGUCUCACUCUGUUGCCCAGGCUGGAGUGUAGUGGCACAAUCUCAGCUCACUGCAACCUCCUCCUCCCUACUUCAAGCGAUUCUCCCUGCCUUAGCCUCCCAAGUAGUUGGGAUUACAGGUGCCCACCACCACACCCAGCUGAUUUUUUAUAUUUUUAGUGGAGACGGGGUUUCACCAUGUUGGCCAGGUUGGUCUUGAACUCCUGACCUCAAGCGAUCUGCCCGCCUUGGCCUCCCAAAGUGCUGGGAACAGGUAUGAGCCACCCUGCCCAGCCUGGUGUUUUUUUU
rnacentral:lncRNA from 1 species